UGCAUAUGAUGUUUAUUCUCACGAUGGUCUUCCAAGCUCAGGCUCUGACGACAGUGCCUAAUGGCAUUGCUGAUGCAUGUUA